CAGUAGCCACGGUAAUACGAAGGGGGCUAGCGUUGCUCGGAAUUACUGGGCGUAAAGGGAGCGUAGGCGGAUCGUUUAGUCAGGGGUGAAAUCCCGGGGCUCAACCUCGGAACUGCCUUUGAUACUGGCGAUCUUGAGUAUGGGAGAGGUGUGUGGAACUCCGAGUGUAGAGGUGAAAUUCGUAGAUAUUCGGGAGAACACCAGUGACGAAGGCGACACACUGGCCCAUUGCUGACGCUGAGGCUCGAAAGCGUGGGGAGCAAACAGGAUUAGAUACCCCCGUAGUCCCUGUCUCUUAUAC
rnacentral:rRNA from 1 species